rnacentral:rRNA from 1 species
AAUGGGCGCAAGCCUGAUCCAGCCAUGCCGCGUGAGUGAAGAAGGCCUUCGGGUUGUAAAGCUCUUUCGGCGGGGAAGAAAUGGCACGCUCUAACAUAGCGUGUUGAUGACGGUACCCGCAUAAGAAGCACCGGCUAACUACGUGCCAGCAGCCGCGGUAAUACGUAGGGUGCGAGCGUUAAUCGGAAUUACUGGGCGUAAAGCGUGCGCAGGCGGUUUCGUAAGACAGAGGUGAAAUCCCCGGGCUCAACCUGGGAAUGGCCUUUGUGACUGCGAGGCUAGAGUGUGACAGAGGGGGGUAGAAUUCCACGUGUAGCAGUGAAAUGCGUAGAGAUGUGGAGGAAUACCGAUGGCGAAGGCAGCCCCCUGGGUUACUACUGACGCUCAUGCACGAAAGCGUGGGGAGCAAA